UACGAAGGGGGCUAGCGUUGCUCGGAAUCACUGGGCGUAAAGGGUGCGUAGACGGGUCUUUAAGUCAGAGGUGAAAUCCUGGAGCUCAACUCCAGAACUGCCUUUGAUACUGAGGAUCUUGAGUACGGGAGAGGUGAGUGGAACUGCGAGUGUAGAGGUGAAAUUCGUAGAUAUUCGCAAGAACACCAGUGGCGAAGGCGGCUCACUGGCCCGUUACUGACGCUGAGGCACGAAAGCGUGGGGAGCAAACAGG
rnacentral:rRNA from 1 species